UCACCUUAGAAAAAUAGGAAUUGAACCUAUAA
rnacentral:tRNA from 1 species